UACGGGGGGGCAAGCGUUGUUCGGAAUUACUGGGCGUAAAGGGCUCGUAGGCGGCCAACUAAGUCAUACGUGAAAUCCCUCGGCUUAACCGGGGAACUGCGUCUGAUACUGGAUGGCUUGAGUUCGGGAGAGGGAUGCGGAAUUCCAGGUGUAGCGGUGAAAUGCGUUGAGAUCGGAAGGAACGCCCGUGGCGAAAGCGAGGUCCUGGACGCCAUCUGACGCUGAGACGCGAAAGCCAGGGGAGCGAACGGG
rnacentral:rRNA from 1 species